AGAGUUUGAUCAUGGCUCAGGAUGAACGCUAGCGGCAGGCCUAAUACAUGCAAGUCGAACGGUAAGAUGGGUAGCAAUACCUGUCCUAGAGUGACGUACGGGUGCGUAACACGUAUGCAACCUACCCUUUACAGGAGUAUAGCUCGGGGAAACCCGGAUUAAUCCUCCAUAAUAUCAUUGUAUGGCAUCAUAUGAUGAUUAAAGAUUUAUCGGUAAAGGAUGGGCAUGCGUCUGAUUAGCUAGUUGGUAGUGUAAUGGACUACCAAGGCGAUGAUCAGUAGGGGAACUGAGAGGUUGAUCCCCCACACUGGCACUGAGAUACGGGCCAGACUCCUACGGGAGGCAGCAGUAGGGAAUAUUGGUCAAUGGGUGAGAGCCUGAACCAGCCAUGCCGCGUGCAGGAAGACGGCCUUCUGGGUUGUAAACUGCUUUUGUCAGGGGAUAAAAUUUCCAUGCGUGGAAAAUUGAAGGUACCUGGCGAAUAAGCCACGGCUAACUACGUGCCAGCAGCCGCGGUAAUACGUAGGUGGCGAGCGUUGUCCGGAUUUAUUGGGUUUAAAGGGUGCGUAGGCGGCCUUGUAAGUCAGUGCUGAAAUAUCCCGGCUUAACCGGGAGGGUGGCAUUGAUACUGUGAGGCUAGAGUACAGAUGAGGUAGGCGGAAUUGACGGUGUAGCGGUGAAAUGCUUAGAUAUCGUCAAGAACACCGAUAGCGAAGGCAGCUUACUAGGCUGUUACUGACGCUGAUGCACGAAAGUGUGGGGAUCAAACAGGAUUAGAUACCCUGGUAGUCC
rnacentral:rRNA from 1 species